AACGAACGCUGGCGGCAGGCCUAACACAUGCAAGUCGAGCGCUCUAACCACUUCGGUGGGGACGGGAGCGGCGGACGGGUUAGUAACGCGUGGGAAUAUGCCCAAAGGUACGGAAUAGCCUCUGGAAACGGAGAGUAAUACCGUAUGUGCCCUUCGGGGAAAGAUUUAUCGCCUUUGGAUUAGCCCGCGUUAGAUUAGAUAGUUGGUGGGGUAAUGGCCUACCAAGUCUACGAUCUAUAGCUGGUUUUAGAGGAUGAUCAGCAACACUGGGACUGAGACACGGCCCAGACUCCUACGGGAGGCAGCAGUGGGGAAUCUUGGACAAUGGGCGCAAGCCUGAUCCAGCCAUGCCGCGUGAGUGAUGAAGGCCUAGGGUCGUAAAGCUCUUUCGCCUGUGAUGAUAAUGACAGUAGCAGGUA
rnacentral:rRNA from 1 species